UGUAUACUGAGGCCUGGGAUAAAGACAAGACGCAAAUUCACAUCAUGCCCGACACACCUGAAAUCACACUGGCAAAACAGAAUAUGCAUAAUUACAGUGAGAAACUGUACAAACAAGCCAUGGAAGAAGCAAAAAAGAAAGGCUAUGAUUUGAGAAGUGAUGCUAUCCCAAUUCAGGCUGCCAAAGCAUCCAGGCAAAUUGCCAGUGAUUACAAGUAUAAAGAAGGGUACCGCAAGCAGCUGGGCCACCACAU